AUACUUACCUGCAGAAGAGAUAUGAUCAUGUAGGUGUUUUUCGCAGGCCAAGACUUAACUAUUGCACUCCAGGAUGUGCUGACAUCUGGUUAAUAUGGGAAACUCAACUCCAUAAUUUGUGGUAGAGGAGAGACUGCAUUCAAGGUUUCCA
ensembl:snRNA U1 U1 spliceosomal RNA